CCUACGUGAGGCAGCAGUAAGGAAUCUUCCACAAUGGACGAAAGUCUGAUGGAGCAACGCCGCGUGCAGGAUGAAGGCUUUCGGGUCGUAAACUGCUUUUAUAUGGGAAGAUUAUGACGGUACCAUAUGAAUAAGGACCGGCUAACUACGUGCCAGCAGCCGCGGUAAUACGUAGGGUCCAAGCGAUAUCCGGAAUUACUGGGCGUAAAGCGUGUGUAGGUGGAUUAAUAAGUGUGAUGCGAAAUCCGGCGGCUCAACCGUUUGGACUGUGUCGCAUACUGUUAGUCUAGAGGACGGCAGAGGUAAGUGGAAUUACGGGUGUAGCAGUGAAAUGCGUAGAUAUCCGUAGGAACACCAAUGGCGAAGGCAGCUUACUGGGCCACACCUGACACUGAGACACGAAAGCGUGGGGAGCGAACAGGAUUAGAUACCCUGGUAGUCCACGCCGUAAACGAUGCAUACUAUUAGUAUGGGGUAUCGACCCCCUGUGCUGAGAAGCUAACGCGAUAAGUAUGCCGCCGNGGAGUACGAGCGCAGACGUAACUACGAAGAAGUAGACGCGUGAGACGUGCGACGACGACGACGAGGGAGGAGG
rnacentral:rRNA from 1 species